rnacentral:rRNA from 1 species
GGGUUGUGAGGUUAAGCGACUAAGCGUACACGGUGGAUGCCCUGGCAGUCAGAGGCGAUGAAGGACGUGCUAAUCUGCGAAAAGCGCCGGCGAGGUGAUAUGAACCCUUGACCCGGCGAUGUCCGAAUGGGGAAACCCAGUGCAAUCCGUUGCACUAUCGUUAACUGAAUACAUAGGUUAACGAGGCGAACCGGGGGAACUGAAACAUCUAAGUACCCCGAGGAAAAGAAAUCAACCGAGAUUCCCCCAGUAGCGGCGAGCGAACGGGGAGCAGCCCGGAGUCUGAAUCAGCUUGUGUGUUAGUGGAACGGUCUGGAAAGUCCGACGGUACAGGGUGAUAGUCCCGUACACGAAAGCACACAUGCUGUGAACUCGAAGAGUAGGGCGGGACACGUGGUAUCCUGUCUGAAUAUGGGGGGACCAUCCUCCAAGGCUAAAUACUCCUGACUGACCGAUAGUGAACCAGUACCGUGAGGGAAAGGCGAAAAGAACCCCGGCGAGGGGAGUGAAAAAGAACCUGAAACCGUGUACGUACAAGCAGUGGGAGCCUCUUUAUGGGGUGACUGCGUACCUUUUGUAUAAUGGGUCAGCGACUUAUAUUCUGUAGCAAGGUUAACCGUAUAGGGGAGCCGAAGGGAAACCGAGUCUUAACUGGGCGUUAAGUUGCAGGGUAUAGACCCGAAACCCGGUGAUCUAGCCAUGGGCAGGUUGAAGGUUGGGUAACACUAACUGGAGGACCGAACCGACUAAUGUUGAAAAAUUAGCGGAUGACCUGUGGCUGGGGGUGAAAGGCCAAUCAAACCGGGAGAUAGCUGGUUCUCCCCGAAAGCUAUUUAGGUAGCGCCUCGUGAACUCAUCUUCGGGGGUAGAGCACUGUUUCGGCUAGGGGGCCAUCCCGGCUUACCAACCCGAUGCAAACUACGAAUACCGAAGAAUGUUAUCACGGGAGACACACGGCGGGUGCUAACGUCCGUCGUGAAGAGGGAAACAACCCAGACCGCCAGCUAAGGUCCCAAAGUCAUGGUUAAGUGGGAAACGAUGUGGGAAGGCACAGACAGCCAGGAUGUUGGCUUAGAAGCAGCCAUCAUUUAAAGAAAGCGUAAUAGCUCACUGGUCGAGUCGGCCUGCGCGGAAGAUGUAACGGGGCUAAACCAUGCACCGAAGCUGCGGCAGCGACACUUAUGUGUUGUUGGGUAGGGGAGCGUUCUGUAAGCCGUUGAAGGUGUGCUGUGAGGCAUGCUGGAGGUAUCAGAAGUGCGAAUGCUGACAUAAGUAACGAUAAAGCGGGUGAAAAGCCCGCUCGCCGGAAGACCAAGGGUUCCUGUCCAACGUUAAUCGGGGCAGGGUGAGUCGACCCCUAAGGCGAGGCCGAAAGGCGUAGUCGAUGGGAAACAGGUUAAUAUUCCUGUACUUGGUGUUACUGCGAAGGGGGGACGGAGAAGGCUAUGUCAGCCGGGCGACGGUUGUCCCGGUUUAAGCAUGUAGGCGGAGGUUCCAGGUAAAUCCGGUACCUUAUUAACGCUGAGGUGUGAUGACGAGGCACUACGGUGCUGAAGUGAUAAAUGCCCUGCUUCCAGGAAAAGCCUCUAAGCAUCAGGUAACACGAAAUCGUACCCCAAACCGACACAGGUGGUCAGGUAGAGAAUACCAAGGCGCUUGAGAGAACUCGGGUGAAGGAACUAGGCAAAAUGGUGCCGUAACUUCGGGAGAAGGCACGCUGAUGUGUAGGUGAAGCCCCUGCGGGCGGAGCUGAAAUCAGUCGAAGAUACCAGCUGGCUGCAACUGUUUAUUAAAAACACAGCACUGUGCAAACACGAAAGUGGACGUAUACGGUGUGACGCCUGCCCGGUGCCGGAAGGUUAAUUGAUGGGGUUAGCGGCAACGCGAAGCUCUUGAUCGAAGCCCCGGUAAACGGCGGCCGUAACUAUAACGGUCCUAAGGUAGCGAAAUUCCUUGUCGGGUAAGUUCCGACCUGCACGAAUGGCGUAAUGAUGGCCAGGCUGUCUCCACCCGAGACUCAGUGAAAUUGAACUCGCUGUGAAGAUGCAGUGUACCCGCGGCAAGACGGAAAGACCCCGUGAACCUUUACUAUAGCUUGACACUGAACACUGGUCCUUGAUGUGUAGGAUAGGUGGGAGGCUUUGAAGCGUGGACGCCAGUCUGCGUGGAGCCAACCUUGAAAUACCACCCUUUAAUGGCUGGUGUUCUAACGUAGACCCGUAAUCCGGGUUGCGGACAGUGUCUGGUGGGUAGUUUGACUGGGGCGGUCUCCUCCCAAAGAGUAACGGAGGAGCACGAAGGUUGGCUAAUCCUGGUCGGACAUCAGGAGGUUAGUGCAAUGGCAUAAGCCAGCUUGACUGCGAGCGUGACGGCGCGAGCAGGUGCGAAAGCAGGUCAUAGUGAUCCGGUGGUUCUGAAUGGAAGGGCCAUCGCUCAACGGAUAAAAGGUACUCCGGGGAUAACAGGCUGAUACCGCCCAAGAGUUCAUAUCGACGGCGGUGUUUGGCACCUCGAUGUCGGCUCAUCACAUCCUGGGGCUGAAGUAGGUCCCAAGGGUAUGGCUGUUCGCCAUUUAAAGUGGUACGCGAGCUGGGUUUAGAACGUCGUGAGACAGUUCGGUCCCUAUCUGCCGUGGGCGCUGGAGAAUUGAGGGGGGCUGCUCCUAGUACGAGAGGACCGGAGUGGACGCAUCACUGGUGUUCGGGUUGUCAUGCCAAUGGCACUGCCCGGUAGCUAAAUGCGGAAGAGAUAAGUGCUGAAAGCAUCUAAGCACGAAACUUGCCCCGAGAUGAGUUCUCCCUGAGAC